rnacentral:rRNA from 1 species
UACAGAGGGUGCGAGCGUUUGUCCGGAAUCACUGGGCGUAAAGGGCGCGUAGGUGGUGGCUUAAGCGUGCGGUGAAAGCUCGGAGCUCAACUCCGAGUCGGCCGUGCGAACUGGGCUCACUGGAGCAUAGUAGAGGCAGGUGGAAUUCCGGGUGUAGAGGUGAAAUUCGUAGAUAUUCGGAAGAACACCAGUGGCGAAGGCGGACUCACUGGACCGGCAUUGACGCUGAGGUGCGAAAGCGUGGGGAGCAACAGGGAUUAAGA